UGCCUUACACAUGCAAGUCGAACGGUAACAGCACUUCGGUGGCUGACGAGUGGCGAACGGGUGAGUAAUACAUCGGAACGUGCCCGAGAGUGGGGGAUAACGCAGCGAAAGCUGUGCUAAUACCGCAUACGAUCUACGGAUGAAAGCAGGGGACCGCAAGGCCUUGCGCUCAUGGAGCGGCCGAUGGCAGAUUAGGUAGUUGGUGGGAUAAAAGCUUACCAAGCCGACGAUCUGUAGCUGGUCUGAGAGGACGACCAGCCACACUGGGACUGAGACACGGCCCAGACUCCUACGGGAGGCAGCAGUGGGGAAUUUUGGACAAUGGGCGAAAGCCUGAUCCAGCCAUGCCGCGUGCAGGAUGAAGGCCUUCGGGUUGUAAACUGC
rnacentral:rRNA from 1 species